UACGUAGGGUGCAAGCGUUGUCCGGAAUUAUUGGGCGUAAAGAGCUCGUAGGCGGUUUGUCGCGUCUGCUGUGAAAACUGGAGGCUCAACCUCCAGCCUGCAGUGGGUACGGGCAGACUAGAGUGCGGUAGGGGAGAUUGGAAUUCCUGGUGUAGCGGUGGAAUGCGCAGAUAUCAGGAGGAACACCGAUGGCGAAGGCAGAUCUCUGGGCCGUAACUGACGCUGAGGAGCGAAAGCGUGGGGAGCAAACAGG
rnacentral:rRNA from 1 species